GCAAAUCCUGAAAUAAGAGUAUUUGAUUGAACACCGGAGUUUAAAAAAGAAAGACGGACUUUUGGCACAUACCAAAAGCAUCUUCAGAAUUUUAAGGUCUUAAACAUGCCAUGAUAGUUCUAUGACUAUAAGAGCAUGAACGCGUCUUUCUUUCUGAAACAAACUAUAUAGAAGUUCAUGUCAUAUAAACGGAAACAAAUGGAGUACCUUCAUUUUGGAAAAAUCUGCAUCAGAUUGAUCCGAAACAGACAGAGAUGCAAAAUAAGCAGCAGGAGACCUCGGCUCAACGUUGAACUUCUUGCAAUAAGGAAGCCAAUGCUUUGCAAAGCGAGAAGCUUCUAACAAGGCAUAAAAGGUAAGCUCGGAACCAGCAUCAUCCGAGAGAUAAACACUGAGCUUUUCUGGUGGAUAAUUGUAAGCCAAGACUGAUAAAACUGUAUUGAUCACCAUAAUUGGUGGCUCUAUUACAGGAUCAGCUGUGCACACGAAUACAUCAACUCUCGGCAACUCAUUCUCAUACCUAUUUUCUUUCAACAAGACAUAAUAAAUGUUAACAAAGCUAUGUUCUCUCUAACACCUUGAACUUAAGCUUUUAGACGAGAUCGUCACACAAUUCAACAUGGGCACUAGAGCAGGCAAUGUUUUGAGUUCAAAUUCCACCUCCACUUCCAUUUAAUUUUUUUCUUUUGCAUGCUUGAUCCAUGAAAGACGAGUUGAUAAUGUAGUUAAAUGAAUAACGAGUGUUCUGUUAUAUCUAACAGUUCAAAUGUUUAGACGAGAAGAUCACACAAUUCAACAUGUUUAAUUAAGAGCAGACAAUUUGGUUCUGAAUUCAAAUUCCACGUGCACUCUUAAUCAAAAAACAUUUUUUUCACAUGUUUGAUGACAUAUAAAACAAUCAGGCCUUUAUACGAGGGGCGAGUUGAAAAUAUAAUUAAAUGAAUUAACGAGUACUCUGCUCAAUAAACUACAGCAACAACUACACCUUAGUCCCAACACAAGUUGGGGUCGACUAUAUGAAUCUAACAACUAGUAUGCCUCAAGCACAAAUAAGUUGGGAUCGGCUCUAUGAAUACUCACUACUUCAUAACAGCUCAAACUAUGUCGUCAUCAUAAAGGAGUUCUCAGCUGAUCAGUAAACAACAACAACAACUACGCUUCAAUCCCAAACAAGUUUGGAUCGGCUAUAUGAGUCCCCGUAGCUUCAUUAACGAGUACAUAGCCUAACUUGAACCAAUGUUUUUGUUUCUUUUUUGUACCUGCAAGAUAGCAGUAUGGUUUUUCUUGGAUGAAUAUGAAUUCCAUUUGGAAAAUCCUUUGUAUUCUAAUUUUGCUUGAUCUGAGACUGUCCCAGCCUUGCAUACAACAUCAAUUUUGUUUGCCAUCUCCUCGUACAAUCCCUGCAGUGUUAAGAAAAGACGUUGGCUAUCAAUAUCUGUAUAUAUACCUCAGCAUUUAUGCUUGACAUUCAACAGUUUUGGAUCAAUAAGUUUUGAUAAACAAAAUAAAUUCUUUAAAGAACAGGCAAAUCCUGAAAUAAGAGUAUUUGAUUGAACACCGGAGUUUAAAAAAGAAAGACGGACUUUUGGCACAUACCAAAAGCAUCUUCAGAAUUUUAAGGUCUUAAACAUGCCAUGAUAGUUCUAUGACUAUAAGAGCAUGAACGCGUCUUUCUUUCUGAAACAAACUAUAUAGAAGUUCAUGUCAUAUAAACGGAAACAAAUGGAGUACCUUCAUUUUGGAAAAAUCUGCAUCAGAUUGAUCCGAAACAGACAGAGAUGCAAAAUAAGCAGCAGGAGACCUCGGCUCAACGUUGAACUUCUUGCAAUAAGGAAGCCAAUGCUUUGCAAAGCGAGAAGCUUCUAACAAGGCAUAAAAGGUAAGCUCGGAACCAGCAUCAUCCGAGAGAUAAACACUGAGCUUUUCUGGUGGAUAAUUGUAAGCCAAGACUGAUAAAACUGUAUUGAUCACCAUAAUUGGUGGCUCUAUUACAGGAUCAGCUGUGCACACGAAUACAUCAACUCUCGGC
rnacentral:lncRNA from 1 species